GAUGAACGCUGGCGGCGUGCCUAAUACAUGCAAGUCGAGCGAACAGACGAGGAGCUUGCUCCUCUGACGUUAGCGGCGGACGGGUGAGUAACACGUGGAUAACCUACCUAUAAGACUGGGAUAACUUCGGGAAACCGGAGCUAAUACCGGAUAAUAUAUUGAACCGCAUGGUUCAAUAGUGAAAGACGGUUUUGCUGUCACUUAUAGAUGGAUCCGCGCCGCAUUAGCUAGUUGGUAAGGUAACGGCUUACCAAGGCAACGAUGCGUAGCCGACCUGAGAGGGUGAUCGGCCACACUGGAACUGAGACAGGGUCCAGACUCCUACGGGAGGCAGCAGUAGGGAAUCUUCCGCAAUGGGCGAAAGCCUGACGGAGCAACGCCGCGUGAGUGAUGAAGGUCUUCGGAUCGUAAAACUCUGUUAUUAGGGAAGAACAAAUGUGUAAGUAACUAUGCACGUCUUGACGGUACCUAAUCAGAAAGCCACGGCUAACUACGUG
rnacentral:rRNA from 1 species